rnacentral:rRNA from 1 species
UUCCCGUAGGGGUGACCUGCGGAAGGAUCAUUAUCCAUCCAAAACCAGCUGCGGUCGCGGCCCCACGCUUACCCGUGGCGGUACGCGCCGCACGUCUGCACCCUUUUUUUACGAGUACCUUCGUUCUCCCUCGGCAGGGCAACCUGCCGUUGGAACCAUACAAAACCUUUUUUUGCAUCUAGCAUUACCUGUUCUGAUACAAACAAUCGUUACAACUUUCAACAAUGGAUCUCUUGGCUCUGGCAUCGAUGAAGAACGCAGCGAAAUGCGAUAAGUAGUGUGAAUUGCAGAAUUCAGUGAAUCAUCGAAUCUUUGAACGCACAUUGCGCCCCUUGGUAUUCCAUGGGGCAUGCCUGUUCGAGCGUCAUCUACACCCUCAAGCUCUGCUUGGUGUUGGGCGUCUGUCCCGCCUCUGCGCGUGGACUCGCCUCAAAAUCAUUGGCAGCGGUCCUUGCCUCCUCUCGCGCAGCACAUUGCGCUUCUCGAGGGGCGUGGGUCGCGUCCACGAAGCAACAUUACCGUCUUUGACCUCGGAUCAGGUAGGGAUACCCGCUGAACUUAAGCAUAUCAAAAGCGGAGGAAA